rnacentral:rRNA from 1 species
AUUGAACGCUGGCGGCAUGCCUUACACAUGCAAGUCGAACGGCAGCGCGGACUUCGGUCUGGCGGCGAGUGGCGAACGGGUGAGUAAUACAUCGGAACGUACCCUGUUGUGGGGGAUAACUAGUCGAAAGAUUAGCUAAUACCGCAUACGACCUGAGGGUGAAAGUGGGGGACCGCAAGGCCUCACGCAGCAGGAGCGGCCGAUGUCUGAUUAGCUAGUUGGUGGGGUAAAGGCCCACCAAGGCGACGAUCAGUAGCUGGUCUGAGAGGACGAUCAGCCACACUGGGACUGAGACACGGCCCAGACUCCUACGGGAGGCAGCAGUGGGGAAUUUUGGACAAAGGGGGCAACCCUGAUCCAGCAAUGCCGCGUGUGUGAAGAAGGCCUUCGGGUUGUAAAGCACUUUUGUCCGGAAAGAAAUCGCGCUGGUUAAUACCUGGCGUGGAUGACGGUACCGGAAGAAUAAGCACCGGCUAACUACGUG